AAAAUGACUCUCGGCAACGGAUAUCUAGGCUCUUGCAUCGAUGAAGAACGUAGCGAAAUGCGAUACUUGGUGUGAAUUGCAGAAUCCCGUGAACCAUCGAGUUUUUGAACGCAAGUUGCGCCCGAAGCCAUCAGGUUGAGGGCACGUCUGCCUGGGCGUCACAU
rnacentral:rRNA from 6 species